UGCAUAACACAUGCAAGUCGAACGAGACUAUUUGCGAUUAUAUCAAGGAUAGUUUAGUGGCAGACGAGUGAGUAACACGUAAGGAAUCUACCAUGGAGUGGGGAAUAACGCGCCGAAAGGCGCGCUAAUACCCCAUAUAAUCUCUCGGGGGCAUCUCUGGGGGAUGAAAGGCGUAAGCCGUUCCAUGAUGACCUUGCGACCUAUCAGCUUGUUGGCGGGGUAACGGCCCACCAAGGCUAUGACGGGUACCCGGCCUGAAAGGGCGAACGGGCACGGAGGCACUGAGACACGGGCCUCACUCCUACGGGAGGCAGCAGUGGGGAAUUUUGGACAAUGGGGGAAACCCUGAUCCAGCAACGCUGCGUGAGGGAUGAAGGUCUUCAGAUCGUAAACCUC
rnacentral:rRNA from 1 species